rnacentral:lncRNA from 1 species
CUCUUCCUUAUCCUCCCCAUCACCAGCUCCAGGGAAGACUACAUUACCCAUUGUCCUCUGCCUGAGGAUCCGGAAGCAGCUUGGAGAACAGGGGGGGAGGCAGUGAUCUUAGGUGAGGGACUGAUAGCUUGCUACUGGAGGUAAUGGUGGAGGGAAAGGCACGGGGAAUAAUGAGCCCCUGGUCUUAGGGAAGAGCCAAGUACAGACUUGGGGAAGCUAUUGGAAAGGAAGAGAUAUAGGAGCUGGAACUCCUGGGUCUUCUGUAGUUUGCAUGGAGUGCCAAGACAGCCGACAUCAUGAUGGGCAAACCUUAAUCCACCCAAUGAAGUCCUCCAAAGAGUCUGAAACUGCUGAAGCUUCCCCACUCUCCUUCCAAGCUGGCCCACGACCUUCUGCAAGAGAAGAUGAGACUGAAUGAGCUGGACCAGUACUGUCACUAGCUAUCAUAAAGGUCCCAAGGCUGUGCUCUACUUGAGGAUGAACAUGGGAGGAGUCAUCAGCAUGGUCCAGACUGGGGUGCCCUUUAGAGAGGUCUGUGUGGUCUGGAAAUAUGUAGGCACUGAGGAGGCCGUGUGAGCCUCCCCCCCACCAAGAGCACCUAAAAUGUGACGUCCUGGGGUUGGAAUGCCCCCAACUGGAGAGCUGAAAGCUGACUUGAAGACUCUUGCUUGGAGAGCCCCUCUCAAAGGAGGACCUGAGAAGGCAGGAGCUCAUUCAUCUUUCACUGACUCUACCCCAUCAUUCACACAAGGCAAGGCAUUCAUCUCUAUCUACAGGGAGAAUUCUGUACCAAUAGAUUUUAGGACAGGGGUUACAACUGUAAUACAUAAUACUGAUGUGUGCUUAUGUGAUUGACUCUAAUAAAUAGAUAAUAAAAAAUUAGCUCAUAAAUGUAUUUUUAAAAGGACAAAACAAAGUAUUGAAUGAGAUCUCGUAGUAGACAUCAUGAUAAGACCUCCGGAGAAUCUCCCGGAGAAAAUUGUGAGAUAGAUGAGCAAAGAUAACACCUAUAGGCUCUGAAGAACCCAUAAUCCAGUGCUGGAGAGAAAAGCGCACAGCAGAGUUAGUCCUGAAACUGGGAAGACCUGGAUUCAAGAGGUUUGAUACUGAACAGGUUACUUAAGUAGUUGAGACUUUAUGCAAGUCUCUAAGACCUGAAUAUUGCAGGAAGGGGGCAGGGGGAAGAAACUUGUAUGUUGAAGGUAAGAGAAUUGCUGGAAGGAGAGGGAAAGCAUAGAAACACACCCAAAGAUGGUGAUGUCAUUUUCUUCUAAAUCUUUUUUUAGUUUAUAUCAUAAUUCCCAUCCCUUAUAACCUUGUAACAAAGCUAGCCAUAUUUUUUUGGGGGGGGGCAAUAUAACACUGAACACCUAAGUUUGACACCAUACACUAAAUCCCAUAUCUACAGUUUCUCUAUAAAGAAGAUUGGGAAGUGAAUUUUCUUAUCUCUUCUCUGAGGACAAGUUUUGUCACAUUUUAGUGUUUGGUCAUCUUUAAGAUUUGUAAAAGAUUAAGAUACAAAGAACAGCAGAUAGGCUUCUUUUCUUUUCCUUCUCCCCUAACCCUCUAGGAGAAAAGGAAUUUACUCACCUGGAAGUUCCGUACAUUGAUGAAACCAAAAAGCCAAUCCCUAACAUUAGAGAUUAAGAAACUAUGGUUUGAGAUGGGAGCUAUGCCCCCAAAGUCACUAAACUGUGUAUCUCCUUUCCUACAGCAAUGUUAGGCCUAUAUUCCAAAGAAAUAAAAAAAAAAAAAAAAAAAAAAAAAAAAAAAAAAAAAAAAAAAAAAAAAAAAAAAAAAGAAGAAGAAGAAGAAAAGGGGCUGAGAGGGUAAGUAGGUGGUAUAGAUAGAUCAAGGGACUGGGAAUGGAAAAAAAGUGUAGUUUGAUUCCGACUCAGACACUUGUUAGCUGUGAAACCUUGAGCAAAUCAUAUAUUCUCAGUUUUACCUCAGUUUUCUCAUCUGUAAAAUGAAGAUCGUGAUGGUACCUACUUCCCAGAAUUAUUAUAAUUAUCAAAUGAGAUAUUACCAUAUGUACAAAAAUAUUUAUAGCAACUGUUUUUGUUAUGACAAAGAACUGCAAAGGGAUUGAUAUCUUUCAAUUAGUGAAUGUCUGAAUAAAUUGUAAUAAAUGAAAGUAAUGGAAUAUUAGUGCACCAGAAGAAAUGACAAAAGACAAUUUAGAGAAAUCUGAAAAGACUUAUAUGAACUGAUGCAAAGUGAAACAAGCAGAACUGGAAAAAUAUGCAAUGAUUAUAACAUUAUAAAGGAAAAGAACAAUAACAAGACCAACAAAUGGAAUACUUUGAAAUAGAGACCCAGAGAGAUAAGAAGACACUCCCCUUGCUUCUUUGAAGAAAUAGAUGACUAUAAUGGUGGAACACUGCAUAUAGCAGACUUUUUCCUAGUAUUGCUGAACUAUUUUCUCCCUCUUUUUAUACUUUGUUAUUAGGAAUGCUUCUCUGGGAAGGGGAAGAGAAGGAUAAAUUGGUAUAUGUAAGCAAAGUUAAAACAAAAGAUAUUAAUAAAAUUUUAUUUUAAAAAUAUGUCAUAUUCUCUGUUACCACCUUCCCCUUCAACUCACAAGGCAGGUCUCUCAGGAUGUAACUGUUUCAUGUUCAAGACAUUAUGUGGGUCUACACUUGUAAAACUAUAGCCCAAGAGCCCCAUCAAUGUGUUUCCUUUUCAGUAAUCAGCCAAAGGGUACAUUAAUUCAAAAAAAAAAAAGUAAUUUACUGAACCAACAUAUCUUCCUCAUAAAUCUAGGACACACUUUCCCACAAAUACAGCAUCAACAGAAAGAGUAGGUACUCUUAUAGAACACAAGAAUAGAGAACACACUGCUCUACCUCACACUCCCCUCCCAUCACCACCACCAAUAUCUCUUUGUCAUGUCCUCUUGGAGUACAGCAGACCAGCCCUGACUAACCCCACUAGCUCUGCUGUGGGUCUAGGUUCUGAGACUUUGGGGUCAGUUGACACACUGACCUAAAGCCCUGGUGUACAUUUUAUGAAUCAUUUGGGCUCACUCACAGCCUAGGACUAGCAGGGGUCUCAGCUCUGAGCUUCCUAUUUCCCAAGUAGCAUCCUAGCAGCAUACCUCAGAUUCUCCACUCUUCUUACUAACUUGACCCCACAGCCGUACCCUGCUCUGGGCUUCUGCCACAAGAUAACUUUGCUGAUGGCACUUUGGAAAAUGCAAAAGAAACAGAAAGGGGGAAAGGGAAUUCUUUCUACAAAAUUCAUUGCCUCUAUUCUCUUCAGUUGACUGACUUCAGCCCUGACUCUGAAGCUACAUAAUUUUGCUUUUCCAUUCUCACCUAGGCUGUUUGAGCCCACAGGCUACAGAGUUGUCUCUGUCAACACUUCCUGCUCCUUUCAUAUUCAAAUGGACCAGUCUGUAUAUGAAAGAGGCACUCCCUUACACGCCUUUGCCUCUUUCAUCCAGCAAUUUCCUCUAGUGGAUUUGAAGGAUUCAAUUGAUCUAAUCUUCUCAAAUGGAUAUUUGGGACUCUCACUCUCACUACAUAUAGAUGUACAUGUAUAAAGACUAAAAUUGUUUUGUAAGGGCCUCUGCUUGCAUCCCACUGUAUGCUGCAUCCUAAAUCACCUGCCUUUGACUAUACCUAACCUUUGGCUCUGCUCUGUUAUUACUUAAUUCAUAGGGUCAUUGUGAGAAUAAAAUGAAAUGAUGGGUGUAAAAAGAGGUCAUAAAAUGACAGGAUUAAGAGCCAAAGGGGACCGUAGAGACCACCUAAGCCAACCCCUCCAUUUUACAGAAGAGGAAACAGCUGCAGUGUGUGGAGAGUCACCUGGCUGUGUUCUGAGGUCUUCAGAAGCUUAUUUGAGACUGAGAGGGGAGGGAGAGCAGCCCAUGGCCACGUGGGUCAAUACCUGGGGUUUGGCCCACCCCACAUAGGGGUGGGCAGGAUCUGAGACUGGGGGCUGUGGGGAGAGAUGUGGAAUGAGGAGACGGUGUGGCUCAGAGCUGGAGCGCAGCAAUUAUGAGGGAGGAUUUAUGUCCCUUUGCCUUUAAUCGGAAACUCCGUGUCAAGAAGAAAAAUCUGCACUGUCCUAGGGCUGGGCUUCCUGCUUUAUCAUUAUUAUUGGAAGAAGGUUGGUUUGGAAACUUAAAGAAAAGUAGGGUUGGUGGGAGCUACUGGGGGAGGGGGAGAAUAUCUGGGCAGUAUGGGGGGGUCUGCCAGAUGUUCAUCCUGGAGUAAAAGUGGGAACAUUGGGCUGGAGGGGUUGAGGGGACUCUGAGCAGGAAGCAUGAGCAUGGCUGGAGGAAUCUGGUGGGAAAGGAGCAAGAGGAGGAAAGAGAUGGGGUGAGGAGGAAGGGCAAGGACUCAGUUUAUACUUGUGAUAGAAGGAAGGGUUGGAAGACACUGUGGGAAAGAUUGGAGGGGCGAGGCAGGACUGGAAGGCACAGGGGCUAAAGGGACUCUAGGAAAAGAGAAAAGAUAUCUGGAUGCUGGGGGGAGAGGGAUAGCGAUAGGGAACUUUGAACAUGGGGCAGGAGACUGGAAGAUGUAGAGGAAAGGAUCAGAGUUAACCCUGAAAGCUAUUGGAACCAAGCUGAAAAGGCCAGGUUCAAGUACAGAUCUGGUAAUGAUGAAUUUUCCCUCAUUUUUAUUAGUCUAGCUAAGUUCGAAGAAGUUUCUCAUCAAGUAAUGUUUCUCUUUUUUGGGGGGGUGGGGAUGGAGAGGGAGAGACACAGAGAGGAAGACUGGAGGAUGCCGCAGGGAGAUGGACAGAGGUUGAGGACCACUUCAUAAAAUGGGACAGGGCUUGAAGACACCGGGGAGAGGGGCUGAACAUGAGAACAAUAGAGAGGAAGCAGCAGGAUUGGAAAACCUGGAGAAGGGUAAAGAAUG